ACCAUUCUUCCUCUUUAAUUUUCUUCAAUUAUAGCUCACUCUUUUCCAUAAACCAACCUUUCUUCUUCUCUCUUUUUUACCACAAUCAAUAAAAAAUAAAAAAUCUCCAUUUUUGCAAAUCUCGUUAGAAUACAAAAAAUCCAAAUUCACUGCUUUUCAUUUAUUAUCUUUUCUUUUUUAUUCACCUACUAGGGUUCAUUUUUCUUAUAUAAAUACCCCCUCUAUAACAUUUCAUUUUCAUUAUUCUCUUAUACUAAAAAAUGAGAGUUAGGUUAAAAAGGAGCUCCUUUCGGUUCAAAAAGAGGAUAGAGAAUGAGGGUAUUGCGAGUCUGCUAGUUCAUGAAUACCUAUGAGUUCAUCAGCCAGAUAUAUGGACUCAAGGGUUUGCAUGACUUGGGAGACUCGCUUGCCUUCCCCUUUCCUUUCUUGGAUUGAAGGGAGCUCCUAUGUAGCACCGACACGGAUACAGAAAAACGGAUUAUUCAGAUCCGUAAACAACAACGCUUUUUUAAGGUUCUUAUCGAAAAAUAUGUUUCAUGUCCGAAACGUCAAACUUUCACUUGAACAAAGUGGCUUGAAGACGAAUGCAAUUGCAGAAUGGAAUAAAUGAAGAGUUGUUAGUUUAAUUUUCUGAAACAAAAACAGAAUGUUAAUGAAGUUCUUAGUUAGUUCUCAAAAUUUUCUUGUGGUAUAUGUAUUAUUGAAGUGCAAAUUUGAUGAGAUGAUAAUUCUGUGGUCUUCUUAAA